rnacentral:rRNA from 1 species
GCAGCCGCCACGGGAAUACGGAGGGUGCAAGCGUUAUCCGGAUUUAUUGGGUUUAAAGGGUCCGUAGGCGGAUCUGUAAGUCAGUGGUGAAAUCUCACAGCUUAACUGUGAAACUGCCAUUGAUACUGCAGGUCUUGAGUAAAUUUGAAGUGGCUGGAAUAAGUAGUGUAGCGGUGAAAUGCAUAGAUAUUACUUAGAACACCAAUUGCGAAGGCAGGUCACUAAGAUUUAACUGACGCUGAUGGACGAAAGCGUGGGGAGCGAACAGGAUUAGAUACCCCUGUAGUCCCUGUCUCUUAUAC